CAGAUGGAAUUUUGGUUAACACGGUUGAGGAACUUGACAAGAUUGGACUGAUGUAUUUCAAGAGAAAAUUUGGCCGGCCGGUUUGGCCAAUAGGGCCUGUUCUUUUGUCCACGGAAAGCAGAGCUGGGGCCAGAAAAGAGUACGGAAUCUCCACAGAGUUGUGUAAAAAAUGGCUUGAUACAAAGCCGUACACUUCAGUUCUGUAUGUAUCAUUCGGUUCACAAAACACAAUAGCUGGCACAAUCCCACUUCAAGAGUCUCAAUUUUGUCGUCAUGGCUUUAUUUCUGCUGGCAAUAAGCACUGAAGUGAAGGCAGGCCUAUUCCAUCAAUUUCUCCCAGUUAUGCACCAUCAGCUGUAAGUGUUCCCUUGUUAUUCUUUAUUGACAAAUUGGUGUUGGUUUCUUUAUUUCUUUGAUCUUAUGAAAAUGCUUAUGCUUAUCUUGUUUAUUUAUUAUUUGUCAGGUAUGGUUUUUAAACAAUGACUAUUGCUGGCUGGUUGAGUGUCGGAUAGGGAAGGAUAAGAGUGUUCCCAUUGACUUCUUCUCCAGAUGGUCAUUUUGGCCCAAAUUGAAUAAUUAAUUUGUUAUUUCUCUUAUUGUCAUACGAAUCUUGCAAUAAUUUGAGAAAAUAAUUUUCUUACGAUUUUAUGAAAUUUUAAAGGGACUGCUGUACCGUACAUCCGCCUUGGCCGUACAGCAGAGAUAUGUUCUUUGCAUGGAGUGCAGAGAUAGCACAAGAAUAUGGUAUUUUUAAUGCUCUAUUUGUAGGAGGUGGUAGUUUUGGCUUUGCUUGUUUCUACUCUUUGUGGCUAAACCUACCCCAUCGGGAUUCCGAUGAAUUUCUAUUGCCGGAUUUUCCUGAAGCUUCAAGAAUUCAUGUAACUCAGAUGACAAAGUUUUUAAGACUUGCUGAUGGUAGUGAUUCACUUUCAGUAUUUUUUCAGAAAGUGCUUCCUCAGUGGAUGAAUGCCGAUGGAAUCUUGUUUAACACAGUAGAGGAGCUUGACAAGAUUGGUCUAAUGUAUUUCAGUAGAAAGCUCGGCCGACCGGUCUGGCCAGUUGGGUCCCUGCUUUUGUCAACCGGGAGCAGAGCUGGGGCAGGAAAAGAGUACGGAAUCUCCACAGAGUUGUGUAAAAAUUGGCUUGAUACCAAGCCAUGCAAUUCAGUGAUUUAUGUGUCAUUUGGUUCACAAAACACAAUAGCUGCAUCACAAAUGAUGCAAUUGGCAAUGGCUUUAGAGGCUUGUGGCAAGAACUUCAUUUGGGUAGUCAAGCCACCACUUGGUUUUGACAUGAACUCUGAAUUUAGAGCCAAUGAGUGGCUGCCUGAAGGAUUUGAAGAAAGAAUCAAAGAUUCAGGACAAGGGCUAGUGGUCCAAAAAUGGGCACCUCAAGUGGAGAUUUUGUCUCACAAGUCAAUAUCUGCAUUUUUGAGUCAUUGCGGAUGGAACUCAGUGCUUGAAGCUUUGAGUCAUAGGGUGCCGAUAAUUGGGUGACCGUUGGCAGCAGAGCAGUUUUAUAAUUCUAAGCUGUUAGAAGAAGAGAUGGGGGUUUGUGUGGAGAUAGCAAGAGGGAUGAGUUGUGAGGUUUUGAAAGAGGACUUAAGUGCAAAAAUUGAGUUAGUGAUGAAUGAGACUGAGAAAGGAACAGACUUGAGAAACAAAGCUAAUGAGGUCAAGGUGAUUAUUAAGAAUGCUGUGAGAAAUGAAACAAAUUUUAAGGGGUCUUCUGUGAAAGCCAUGGAUCAAUUCUUGAAUGCUGCAUUGAUAAUGAGACAGAUGGAAAAGGGAGCAUCAAAGGAUGAGGUUUGAUUUUGCGUGGAAGGAAGUCUCCAUUGCCAUUUCUGUCGAUGAAAAAUAAUGUAAUCUUUUAACGAGACAGUUUUGGGAAAAUUCUUGAAGUAGUGUUAUCUUUUUAUUAACUUUCGAUCAAUAAUAUGAAAUUUGAUUUUAUAUAAAUUAAUCCCAUAACAAAGAGCAUCCUCUGUUUUUUGUGACUACAUCUAUCAGGAUUCAGGAAUUUUGAGUUUAAAGCUUGUUCCUUCCGAGUGGGAUCAGGAAUUUAUAGAGCACAAUUCCUUAGUAUUUAAUGUUUUCAAUAAAUGAAAGUAUGAUUGGGCCGAAAAACCAUCACCCACGGUCCUCAUCAAGCCCAACCCAGACCAUGUCAUUUGGGCUGGUUUGAUAAGGGAAACUCAAUCUAUUAUAAAUUUCAUUAGGCUUUGGGUCGGUCAUUUUCACAAAAUAAUUUCUAAAGUGAUAUAUCGAUAAAUUACUGUUAAAAAAAAAAAAAAAGGUAGAAAUCUGCAUCUCUUAAUUUAUCAAUGGCACCAUCAUCGUCAAUGAACAAGCUUCUGACCUUGGCUAUAACGAUAUUUAUAAGUUUCGGCUAAAUCGGAUUGCCACCAUUAAAUUUUUUAGUUAUUGGUAUCUUAGAUUUUUCUAACAUCAUAAUCUGUUAAAAUAUUGAAUCUAAAAAAAAAAAAAAUUGAACUAACUGUUUUUUUUAAUAGAAAUGCAUUCUGAUUAAAGUAUGUUAAAACGUUAAUAGAAAGAAUAAACAUAACAUUUCAUAUGAAAUUUUAGUUCAAUCACAUGCGUAAAUUUCUAGUUUGUGAAGCAAAAAGGUUAUGAGAGAUUUUUCUAAAUAUGUACAUUGAGAUCUCCUUCCUACCAAUCCUUAAUUAUUUUUUAUUGUUGAAUUAUGUUGUGUUUUGUGCUCACUUUAAAAUAGGAUUCAACUUUAUACCAUUGAACCAAUCAUGUUAAAAUGUUGGAUGAAAUUGAAUUAAAAUUAUUCAUAGCAUUAGAUGGAGAUUGAGAUUUUAUAAACAAAUGUUGGAUGGUGAUUGGAGAAAAGAGAUAUUGCAAAUGGCGACGCUGAUCGGAGAAAACAAAAAUACCCUAAAGUAUAUAAACGCUUGGUUUCGCAAUGAUAUAUAUUGUCUGAUUUAUUGAAAUUUGUUUUAAAGUAUACUCUAAUUUACUGGAUUGCUUGAAAAAAUAAAGUGUAAUGUUAAUCGCAUCUCGUAGAUUUGUAUGCAAAAUAAAUUUUAAUAUAAUAUUUUAAAUUAAUUAAAAUAACAGUAUUUUUCCAUUGCAAUAAUAAAUCGUCUUUAAUUAUUUAUGAAGACAAAAUUUAGGCUAUUUUCAGAUUGAAAGCACAUAUACUCUUUGUCUGCAGGGGAGACUCUCCAUUACUGACAAGAGUGAUAAGCAUUUAGUCUUUAGACUGAGACCAUCUAAAACUGGACUCAACAAUUCUGCAUCGUAUGUAUAUUCCCAAAAGAUUUUUAAAAUUAGUUUUAAAAACGUGGAAGCUUUGGUUGCCCAAUUAAUGCACCCACCUCUGCGUUUCCCCUACGUAUUAGCCUGCGUAAUUUUUAAAUUUUCGGUGAUUAUGGUCUUGAUUGGGAUUACGUUGCUGUAAUUUUUAAGUUAUAACUACUGUGAAAAAAAAAGUAUAAUUAUGAAAUAAAAAUAAAUAAUAUAUAAUAAAUAUAAUUUUUAAAUAAUAAUUUUAUAAAAAUUAUUAAAGAUAUAUUAAUUCAUCACGUAAAUAUAAAAUUAAAUUAAAUUAUCUUUUAAGUUAUAGUAGUUAGUAUUUAUUAAAUAUUUUAAUUUUUAAAUUUUUAAAUUACAGUUAUUUAAUCUCAAUUCUAAAUAGAGCCUAUAUCUAUUUAAAACUUGUUCAGAUUGCUAACUAGUUAUGCUUUAUUUAACAUAGUAGAAUUCGGUAAUUCACUUAUUAUUAAUUUUUUGUUUUAGUCUCUAGACCAUCUUUCACCGAUAAAAACUGUUUUAUUACAUACCAAAACUGUUAAAAUCAAGGACGGAAGCAGCAUGGUGCUACCAGGAUCAGCUGUCCCCACUUAAGUACUUAGCUUUCUAUUUUAUGCUUAAGUCUCACCCUGCAAUCUUUAUUGGUGUGCCCUCUUGAUUUCAAUGUUCAACCAAUUUAUCUUUUAAAAUUUUUUGAACAGACUCAGUAACUUGAAAUUAAAAGCCUAAUAGCCUUAAUUCCAGUAUGUUGCGAAAAAAAUUUCAAAUAGUAUUGAUAAUAAAACUAUUGAGCAGCAUUAUCAAUUCAUGAAAAUAAGUCAUCAACAAUUUAUGAGUGAAAGAUAUAACUUUAUAUUUAUUAUUAUUUUUUAAAAAAAAAUUACCCCCUAUAGAGUAAAUUUCUAGCUUCAUCCAUCGUUAAAGUAACUCAUGUUAUUUCAAUGAACGCCAAAGACACAUAGGUAUAACUAAUUAUUUUAAAUUUUUUUUAUUAAAACUUAGCAGUUUGAGGAAUUUUUAUUAAAUAUGAAAUAAGAAAUGAAAUACCAAAUCCGGAGGAUUUAAUUACAUUAUUUUUUUCCCAAUUGGAAAUAUGUUGGAAAGAAAUACCUUUAAAAUCUGCCAUUAAAAUAAGAAAUAUGUUUAUUAAUAUAAUUUAAAAAAUAAUGUAAUUAACUUGACUAAUAAAUGUUUGUUUUGGUUGGUCAUUUAACCAUAAAGUGGCAACAUGCAAGCAACAGAGUUGAUGACUUUCUGUGCAGUUUGGAGCCCAUUCUAGACACAAAAAAUAUAGAACAAACUUCAUUGCUUUCUACUUCUAUGAAGGGGAAUAAAAAAAUGAGGAUGAUUUGAUGUCAAAAAUCAAAAUGAUCCAAGCAAUGCCGCAAUACGGUGCCGCCAAACAAACCUUUCAUUGUUUUACUCUUAAAAAACAGAAAACAACAAUUUGGAAACAGUACCAAGCAGCCUACUAAAAAGUUAGUGAAUUAUGAUUUAGGAUUGGGGUUUUGUUUGAUGUUGAAUGAAUUAUAUGAUAACAAUGAUGAUAAAGUCAAAAACAGUUUUGUAUAAUUUAAUAUGUAAUAAUUAAUGUGACACGAAAAAAGUAACUAAAAAGUAAUGAUAGUUUUUUUUUUAAUUAUGUGAGACCAUAAUAAUUUUAUAUAAUCAAUCAUCAAAAUUAACAAUAUAUGUCAAGGCUCUAGCAGAAUUAUCAAAAUGCUCAGUUUUUUUUAAAUUUAAUUUUCAGUUUUUAAAUUUAGAAAGUCGAAAGUUGUCUUUCAAAAGAAUUAAAAUUACCAAAAUGACCCCACUCCCCUUCUUAACCACCUAAUCCUCCGCAAUUUCUCCUCAUCCUCUCAUCAAUAGCAAUGGCACAAAGAAAAGAAAACAUAGUGAUGUUCCCAUUCAUGGCACAAGGCCAUAUAAUCCCUUUCCUAGCGUUAGCCCUUCAGUUGGAAAAAACAAACAAAUACACCAUAACUCUGUUGGUGAAUUAUGAGAAUAUGGAGGCAAAGAACAAUGAAAUUUCUUAGGAUUUGAGACGUGUUUACACACUUUCCUUUAAGGUUUUAUUUGCCCUCACCAAUCUUGGUUUGCUAUAGAGUUUUAAUGGCAAAUUACCCCCAAGAUAUAUCAAAUCCUGAAUACAAUCUUUAGCAAAUAAGAUUGUAUUUCCAGAACAAGCAUGAAAUCUUCAAAAUCUGAUUUCUAAUCUUAUUGUAUGUCUUUCUUUUUAUGAAUAAGAUGUUUAUUUGAAAGAAUACAACCAUUAGAAAAUGGUACUUCUUCGAAAAAAACUCUUUUGGUUUUAAAAUGCAUCGAUUUACAAUUGAAAUCUUUUCAAUCUUGCUAACCGUUUUCCAAUUGACAACUUUCUGGAAAUAAACGGUUAGCCGUUUUCUCAAUAAACGGUGAGCCGUUUAUUCUAGGACAUAAAACAUGCUCUCUGGACUUAAACGGUAAGCCGUUUUCACCAUAAACGGUGAGCUGUUUAUUCCAGAACAAAAAACAUGCUCUCUGGACUUAAACGGUUAGUCGUUUUCUCAAUAAACGGCAACCCGUUUUCGUCCAGAAUAUCAAACCAAACAAAUUUGAAAGAUGUUACAAUCUCUCUUACAAACUCUUGUUAACACCCCUUUAAACCUCAAGAGACUCAAAUCAUCUCUCCCACAAAAUUCCUCCAUUCACCUUCUUGAAAUUCCUUUCAACAGCAUAGAGCAUGACCUCCCUCCUUGUACUGAAAACACAGACUCUAUUCCACAUCAUCUCUUUCCAAGAUUCCUUCAAGCAUCAGCAUCGCUCGAACCCCACUUCAAGAAACUAAUCUCUGAACUUGUCAAUGAACAAAAUGGCCAAAAACCACUUUGUAUCAUCACUGAUUCGUUCCUAGGUUGGUGUAAAGAGACAGCACAAGAGUACGGUAUUUUUCAUGCUAUAUUCAUAGGAGGUGGUGGCUUUGGCUUUGCUUGUUUCUACUCUUUGUGGGUAAACUUGCCUCAUCGGAAAACGGAUGCCGAUAAAUUUCUGUUGCCGGAUUUUCCUGAAGCUUCAACACUUCAUGUAACUCAGAUGUCACUUUCCUUACGUGCUGCCGAUAGUCUCUUGAAAGACCUUUUGUUAAAGGAUCUGCUAGGUUCUUAUUAGUCCUAACAUAAACAAUAUUAAUAACACCAUCUGCUAUUAAUUGUUUCACAUAUUCAUGUCUUAAGCUAAUAUGUCUAGACUUUCCAUUAUACACUUUAUUAUAAGCUCUAGACAAUGUAGCUUCACUGUCGCAGUACAAAGAAAUAGAUGGCAUCGGUUGUGGCCACAACAUUAUAUCAAACAACAAAUUUCUCAGCCAUUCUGCUUCUUUGCCUGCAGAUGCAAGUGCUAUAAACUCACUUUCCAUUGUUGAAUGAGUUAUGCACGUUUGUUUCUUUGAAGCCCAAGAAACCGCUCCUCCAGCAAUUGUAAAAAUCCAACCAGAAGUGGAUUUAUUAUCUCUUGUAUUGGUUACCCAACUAGCAUCUGAAUAUCCUUCCAGUACUUCAGGAUAAUCAUUAUAAAACAAACCCAAAUUAAUGGUCCUUUUAAGAUAAUCAAGUAUUCUACCAAUUGCUUUUCAGUGUUCAACACUAGGGUUACUCGUGAAUCUUGACAUUUUGCAAACUGCAAAUGCUAUAUCAGGCCUCUUACAAUGCAUAGCAUACAUCAAGCUACCAAUUGCACUAGCAUAUUCUAGUUGAGCUACUAUUCGGCCUGAAUUCUCUAGUAAUUUAAUACUAGAAUCAUAUGGGGUAUUAGCUUCUUUAAAUUUCAAAUAAUUGAAUUUAAGAAGCACUUUCUCUAUAUAAUGAGAUUGACACAACGAGUAACCCCCACUAUGUUUAUUCACUUUGAUACCUAAGAUAGUAUCUACUUCACCAAGAUCUUUCAUCUUAAAUUGUGAAGUUAAAUACUUCUUUGUAUCAUCUACUCCUUGCAUAUUUGUUCCAAAGAUAAGCAAGUCAUCAACAUACAAGCAUAUAAUCACACCAAAAUCAUUCGUAUAUUUAAAAUAUACACAUUUAUCAGCAUUAUUAUGCUUAAAACCAUGUGAUAAAAUUACCGAAUCAAACUUCUCAUGCCAUUGUUUUGGUGCUUGCUUUAAGCCAUAAAGAGAUUUGAUUAACUUGCAUACCUUUUUUUCAUUUCCAGGCAAAACAAAUCCCUCAGGUUAUUCCAUAUAGAUUUCUUCAUCAAGAUCACCAUUAAAAAAAGCUGUUUUAACAUCCAUUUGAUGCACAUACAAAUUGUUCAAUGAAGCAAUUGCAAAUAGCACUCUUAUAGAAGUUAACCUAGCUACCGGAGCAUAUGUAUCGAAAUAGUCAAUACCAUUUCUUUGCUUAAACCCUUUGGCUACUAAUCUAGCCUUAAAAGUUUGCAAAGAACCAUCAUUAUUGUACUUUCUUCUAAAUACCCAUUUGCUGCUAAUUGGUUGAGAUCCUGGAGGAAGAUCAACCAAGACCCAUGUUUGAUUCGACAUUAUCGAAUCCAUUUCAUCAUUUACCGCCUCUCUCCAAAAAGAAGCGUCUCUAGAAGACAUAGCCUCGCUAAAUGUCUUUGGAUCUUUUUCAAUAUUUAACAACAAUGGUACUUUGUUAAGUACAUUCUUCUGCUAUACGGCCAAGGCGGAUGUACGGUACAGCAGUAUAAUGCCUGUUGUUUCAUACCUAUUUUUUUGUUUUUUUUGUGAUCUAACCAUUGGAUCAACCAAGAGUUGCAAAGGCUAUUCCAAUCGUUAGAAUGUUAUUAUUUAGUUAUUAACGAUGUGGUCUCUUAUGUUUACUAAAAGAAUAAGAAAAUAUUAAAUUAUAAAAUUUUGACACAUUGGUCCGUUAAAUAUUUUAUUAUCAAAGGUAAUUUAGUAAACGAACAUAUUUAUAUAUUAAAAAUAUGGAUGGAUUAUUUUAACUUGCUAAAAUACUCUCCACUUCCAUUUACUUAAAAUACCAAUUAUAUUUUCAUAAUACUAUUUUGUAUUUAGUGUAACACAAAAUUAGAUAAGGUUUUAUAUAAAUUUUGACAAUAUUAAAAUGGAAAAUAAAUAAAUAUUAAAUAAAUGCUUGGAUAGUCAUUUAAAUUCAUUAUAGAGUUUAUAAAUAAUAUUUUCAAAAUAAUAAAAUUCUAUAUGUAAAUUUGAGAUUAUGUAAAAUUACUUAUACUUUAUCUCACGUAUGAAGCCGAUCAAUUAUUUAUUUAAUAUGAAAAAAAGUAAAUUAUAUAAUAUUUAUUCCAUCACUUAAAUUUAGAAUUAUAAAGAAUGAAACUUAAAUUUAAAAUUGAUUGAGAAGGAGAUAGAGAGAAUAAUUUUUUUAGAAUUUUAAAAUUAUUAUAUUUUAAUUGGGUUUAUUACAUAAAAUUAUUAAAACUUAUAGUUUUUAUUAUUUAUAGAAAAAAAUAGGGAUUGUUGAAGAAAAUGCCAAAUAAACUUUUUAGAAUUUUGAAAUUAUUAUAUUUUAAUUGGGACUUAUUGUAUAAAAUUUUUAAAACUUAUAAUUUUUAUUAUUUAUAAAAAACUACAGGGACUACUAAAAAAAUACCAAAAUGGUAUUUAGUACAACGGGAGUAAGAUAGUUUUGCCCAAUAUAAUAAUAGAGCUUUAUUAGGUCAUGUCCAAUAAAGCAAAAUCAAAAGAAGCUGCUUGUGCACGGCAUUAGCUCUAUUUCUAGAAGCUGACGAAAGGCAAAGUUUGUUUUGGUAUAGUCUUGGUCUGGUCGUUUGUUUUAUUUUAUUUUAUCUUAAUUAUUAUAUUAUAAUCUAUUGAUUUUAAAAUCAGUAGCCUGCUCUUAUCCAUUGGAUUUGUCAAGCAAAACUCAAAAAUUUACACCAAAUACAACCUAUAACUAUUCCACGCUUAUAUUAAUUUAUACGAGAGGAUUAGUCUUCAUGAUUUGUCUCAAUCAUGGUCCUGUUGAAGAAAACAAAGUUUAAAUAUAAAUUUCUUCUUUGUAUGAUAAGAAAAAUUUCUUAUCAUUACAAACAUGAAUUGUUGCACCCGAAUCGAGCCACCAAUCAUAGGACUUAGUUUCAGCCAUAUUGGUUUCAGUAAUCAUGCCAAUUUGUAUUUCAGAAACCAUAGCACAAAUCUGUUCAGAUUUGUUUUCAAUAACAUUAGCUUUAUGGGAAUUCACUUCUUCCUUUUUCUUCUUGAAUCUGCAAUCACUUUGGCGAUGGCCUUUCUUACCACAAAAGAAACAAUUUCCAGAAAACUUUUGUGUGCUGGACUUCUUGAAUUUCUUGUCAUUCUUGACUUUAAAAUUCUUUGAGAAUUUACUAGCUUCAACAACAUUAACUUUAGUAUAAUCAUGCUUAUCCUUGGAUUCACGAGACCUAGUCUCUUCUUCAAUUACCAAGUGUUUUUGCAAUUCUUCUAAAGUUAUGUUCUCUUUACUAUGAAGGAGUUUCUUUCUAUAAUCAUUCCAACUUUGAGGCAAUUUAGCAAUAAUAGCCCCAACUUGAAAUGAUUCAGAAAUUUCAACUUUUAACUCUCGAAGCUUAGCAACAAUAAUUUGUAACUCAUGUAUUUGAUCAAGAAUGGAUUUUGUGUCUACCAUAAUAAAUUCAAAAUAUUUAGAUACAAGGAAUUUGUCAGUACCUUCUUUCUCCGUUUUGUAUUUGUAUUCAAGAGCAUUCCAAAUUUCCACCGGAGAAGUCAUAGAAUUGUAGAGAUCAUAUAAUCUGUCAGAAAGCGUAUUGAGUAUGUGACCCCGGCAUAUCAAUUCAUCAUCUUCACGACGUUUCCUUGCAGCCUUAACAACUUCGGUAUCAUCUUCUCUUGGUUCUGGAAAUGGUUCCAAUUUCGGAUCAAGAACAUAUGCCACUUUAAGAACAGUAAGGAGAAAGAACAAUUUUCCCUUCCAACGAGUGAAAUUAGUUCCAUCAAAACGAUCGAGAUGGACACUAGGAUUCAGAAAUGAUGUCAAACUCUUCUCAAAAUGCAUCGAUUUACAAUUGAAAUCUUUUCAAUCUUGCUAACCGUUUUCCAAUUGACAACUUUCUGGAAAUAAACGGUUAGCCGUUUUCUCAAUAAACGGUGAGCCGUUUAUUCUAGGACAUAAAACAUGCUCUCUGGACUUAAACGGUAAGCCGUUUUCACCAUAAACGGUGAGCUGUUUAUUCCAGAACAAAAAACAUGCUCUCUGGACUUAAACGGUUAGUCGUUUUCUCAAUAAACGGCAACCCGUUUUCGUCCAGAAUAUCAAACCAAACAAAUUUGAAAGAUGUUACAAUCUCUCUUACAAACUCUUGUUAACACCCCUUUAAACCUCAAGAGACUCAAAUCAUCUCUCCCACAAAAUUCCUCCAUUCACCUUCUUGAAAUUCCUUUCAACAGCAUAGAGCAUGACCUCCCUCCUUGUACUGAAAACACAGACUCUAUUCCACAUCAUCUCUUUCCAAGAUUCCUUCAAGCAUCAGCAUCGCUCGAACCCCACUUCAAGAAACUAAUCUCUGAACUUGUCAAUGAACAAAAUGGCCAAAAACCACUUUGUAUCAUCACUGAUACGUUCUUAGGCUGGUGUAAAGAGACAGCACAAGAGUAUGGUAUUUUUCAUGCUAUAUUCAUAGGAGGUGGUGGCUUUGGCUUUGCUUGUUUCUACUCUUUGUGGGUAAACUUGCCUCAUCGGAAAACGGAUGCCGAUAAAUUUCUGUUGCCGGAUUUUCCUGAAGCUUCAACACUUCAUGUAACUCAGAUGUCACUUUCCUUACGUGCUGCCGAUGGAAGCGAUUCUCUUUCAGUGUUGUCUAAGGAGCUGUUUCUUCAAUGGAAGGAUGCUGACGGAAUUUUGGUUAACACGGUCGAAGAACUUGACAAGAUUGGACUGAUGUAUUUCAAGAGAAAAUUUGGCCGGCCGGUUUGGCCAAUAGGACCUGUUCUUUUGUCCACGGAAAGCAGAGGUGGGGCCGGAAAAGAGUACGGAAUCUCUGCAGAGUUGUGUAAAAAAUGGCUUGAUACAAAGCCGUACAGUUCAGUUCUGUAUGUGUCAUUUGGUUCGCAAAACACAAUAGCCGC
rnacentral:lncRNA from 1 species